rnacentral:rRNA from 1 species
GGGUUGUGAGGUUAAGCGACUAAGCGUACACGGUGGAUGCCCUGGCAGUCAGAGGCGAUGAAGGACGUGCUAAUCUGCGAUAAGCGCCGGUAAGGUGAUAUGAACCGUUAUAACCGGCGAUUUCCGAAUGGGGAAACCCAGUGUGACUCGUCACACUAUCAUUAACUGAAUCCAUAGGUUAAUGAGGCGAACCGGGGGAACUGAAACAUCUAAGUACCCCGAGGAAAAGAAAUCAACCGAGAUUCCCCCAGUAGCGGCGAGCGAACGGGGAGGAGCCCAGAGCCUGAAUCAGCAUGUGUGUUAGUGGAAGCGUCUGGAAAGGCGCGCGAUACAGGGUGACAGCCCCGUACACAAAAGCGCAUAUGCUGUGAGCUCGAUGAGUAGGGCGGGACACGUGGUAUCCUGUCUGAAUAUGGGGGGACCAUCCUCCAAGGCUAAAUACUCCUGACUGACCGAUAGUGAACCAGUACCGUGAGGGAAAGGCGAAAAGAACCCCGGCGAGGGGAGUGAAAAAGAACCUGAAACCGUGUACGUACAAGCAGUGGGAGCACAGGUUUACCUGUGUGACUGCGUACCUUUUGUAUAAUGGGUCAGCGACUUAUAUUCUGUAGCAAGGUUAACCGUAUAGGGGAGCCGGAGGGAAACCGAGUCUUAAUUGGGCGUUAAGUUGCAGGGUAUAGACCCGAAACCCGGUGAUCUAGCCAUGGGCAGGUUGAAGGUUGGGUAACACUAACUGGAGGACCGAACCGACUAAUGUUGAAAAAUUAGCGGAUGACCUGUGGCUGGGGGUGAAAGGCCAAUCAAACCGGGAGAUAGCUGGUUCUCCCCGAAAGCUAUUUAGGUAGCGCCUCGUGAAUUCAUCUCCGGGGGUAGAGCACUGUUUCGGCUAGGGGGCCAUCCCGGCUUACCAACCCGAUGCAAACUGCGAAUACCGGAGAAUGUUAUCACGGGAGACACACGGCGGGUGCUAACGUCCGUCGUGAAGAGGGAAACAACCCAGACCGCCAGCUAAGGUCCCAAAGUCAUGGUUAAGUGGGAAACGAUGUGGGAAGGCCCAGACAGCCAGGAUGUUGGCUUAGAAGCAGCCAUCAUUUAAAGAAAGCGUAAUAGCUCACUGGUCGAGUCGGCCUGCGCGGAAGAUGUAACGGGGCUAAACCAUGCACCGAAGCUGCGGCAGCGACGCUGAUGCGUUGUUGGGUAGGGGAGCG